rnacentral:rRNA from 1 species
UUGUUGAGGAAGAUAAUGACGGUACUCAACAAGGAAGUGACGGCUAACUACGUGCCAGCAGCCGCGGUAAAACGUAGGUCACAAGCGUUGUCCGGAAUUACUGGGUGUAAAGGGAGCGCAGGCGGGAGAACAAGUUGGAAGUGAAAUCCAUGGGCUCAACCCAUGAACUGCUUUCAAAACUGUUUUUCUUGAGUAGUGCAGAGGUAGGCGGAAUUCCCGGUGUAGCGGUGGAAUGCGUAGAUAUCGGGAGGAACACCAGUGGCGAAGGCGGCCUACUGGGCACCAACUGACGCUGAGGCUCGAAAGUGUGGGUAGCAAACAGGAUUAGAUACCCUGGUAGUCCACACCGUAAACGAUGAUUACUAGGUGUUGGAGGAUUGACCCCUUCAGUGCCGCAGUUAACACAAUAAGUAAUCCACCUGGGGAGUACGACCGCAAGGUUGAAACUCAAAGGAAUUGACGGGGGCCCGCACAAGCAGUGGAGUAUGUGGUUUAAUUCGACGCAACGCGAAGAACCUUACCAAGUCUUGACAUCCCUUGACGAUGCUGGAAACAGUAUUUCUCUUCGGAGCAAGGAGACAGGUGGUGCAUGGUUGUCGUCAGCUCGUGUCGUGAGAUGUUGGGUUAAGUCCCGCAACGAGCGCAACCCUUAUGGUCAGUUACUACGCAAGAGGACUCUGGCCRGACUGCCGUUGACAAA